GAGCUUGCUCAGAUAUGACGAUGGACAUUGCAAAGAGUGGCGAACGGGUGAGUAACACGUGGGAAACCUACCUCUUAGCAGGGGAUAACAUUUGGAAACAGAUGCUAAUACCGUAUAACAAUAGCAACCGCAUGGUUGCUACUUAAAAGAUGGUUCUGCUAUCACUAAGAGAUGGUCCCGCGGUGCAUUAGUUAGUUGGUGAGGUAAUGGCUCACCAAGACGAUGAUGCAUAGCCAAGUUGAGAGACUGAUCGGCCACAAUGGGACUGAGACACGGCCCAUACUCCUACGGGAGGCAGCAGUAGGGAAUCUUCCACAAUGGGCGAAAGCCUGAUGGAGCAACGCCGCGUGUGUGAUGAAGGGUUUCGGCUCGUAAAACACUGUUGUAAGAGAAGAAUGACAUUGAGAGUAACUGUUCAAUGUGUGACGGUAUCUUACCAGAAAGGAACGGCUAAAUACGUGCCAGCAGCCGCGGUAAUACGUAUGUUCCAAGCGUUAUCCGGAUUUAUUGGGCGUAAAGCGAGCGCAGACGGUUAUUUAAGUCUGAAGUGAAAGCCCUCAGCUCAACUGAGGAAUUGCUUUGGAAACUGGAUGACUUGAGUGCAGUA
rnacentral:rRNA from 1 species